UACGAAGGGGGCUAGCGUUGCUCGGAAUCACUGGGCGUAAAGCGCACGUAGGCGGAUUGUUAAGUCAGGGGUGAAAUCCUGGAGCUCAACUCCAGAACUGCCUUUGAUACUGGCGAUCUUGAGUCCGGGAGAGGUGAGUGGAACUGCGAGUGUAGAGGUGAAAUUCGUAGAUAUUCGCAAGAACACCAGUGGCGAAGGCGGCUCACUGGCCGGUACUGACGCUGAGGUGCGAAAGCGUGGGAACAAACAGG
rnacentral:rRNA from 1 species